CGAAGACCUGUUAUUAAUUCAAAAUGAGGAAAUUUAUCAUAUAAUUGAACUAAACUUUUUACAGCUAUAUAAAUUCCGAAAAAAUAAGGGAGCUCCUUGUCAAAUGAAUUCUGAGAAAACAAGGGAGCUCCUUAGUAUGACCUCUUAUAUUCAGAACCCACACAGAACCCACCCAAUUACAGAUAAUCAUCAUAUAAUUGAACUAAACUUUUUACAGUUAAAUGAAUUCCGAGAAAAGAAAGGAGAUCCUUGUUAAAUGAAUUCCAAGAAAAGAAAGGAGAUCCUUGGUAUGGCCUUUUAUAUUCAGAACCCACUUACAGGUCUCACAAAUACCACUCGAUCGCGGCGGUCCGUUGAGCUUCUCAGUGUGUCAGGGGAACCUAACCUAAUUCUACCUACCACCGAACCUAACCUCUUCAUAAUAGUGUGCAAUUAUGCAAAGAAUCUUUUCAAAAAAUUAUAUAAUGUUUCCUGAAUUUGAUAAAUGGGAGCAAAAUAUAACGAUUUUGUGUCUGGGAA